rnacentral:rRNA from 13 species
GUUGUAUAGUCAAGUAAUUAAGUGCAUGUGGUGGAUGCCUUGGCAGUCAGAGGCGAUGAAAGACGUGAUAGCCUGCGAAAAGCUCCGGGGAGGCGGCAAAUAUCCUUUGAUCCGGAGAUGUCUGAAUGGGGGAACCCACCUACUUUAAGGUAGGUAUUGCAACAUGAAUACAUAGUGUUGCAAGGCGAACGAGGGGAAGUGAAACAUCUCAGUACCCUUAGGAAAAGAAAUCAAUUGAGAUUCCCUCAGUAGCGGCGAGCGAACGGGGAUCAGCCCAUUAAGUUAUGUGUGUUUUAGUGGAACGCUCUGGGAAGUGCGAACGUAGAGGGUGAUAUUCCCGUACACGAAAGGGCACACAUAAUGAUGACGAGUAGGGCGAGGCACGUGAAACCUUGUCUGAAUAUGGGGGGACCAUCCUCCAAGGCUAAAUACUCCUGACUGACCGAUAGUGAACCAGUACCGUGAGGGAAAGGCGAAAAGAACCCCUGUGAGGGGAGUGAAAUAGAUCCUGAAACCGCAUGCAUACAAGCAGUGGGAGCACCUUCGUGGUGUGACUGCGUACCUUUUGUAUAAUGGGUCAGCGACUUAUAUUCAGUAGCGAGGUUAACCGUAUAGGGGAGCCGUAGAGAAAUCGAGUCUUAAUAGGGCGUUUAGUUGCUGGGUAUAGACCCGAAACCAGGCGAUCUAUCCAUGAGCAGGUUGAAGGUUGGGUAACACUAACUGGAGGACCGAACCCACUGUCGUUGAAAAGCCAGGGGAUGACUUGUGGAUAGGGGUGAAAGGCUAAUCAAGCCUGGUGAUAGCUGGUUCUCCCCGAAAGCUAUUUAGGUAGCGCCUCGGACGAAUACCAUAGGGGGUAGAGCACUGUUUCGGCUAGGGGGUCAUCCCGACUUACCAAACCGAUGCAAACUCCGAAUACCUAUGAGUACUAUCCGGGAGACAGACUGCGGGUGCUAACGUCCGUAGUCAAGAGGAAAACAAUCCAGACCGCCAGCUAAGGCCCCAAAAUCAUAGUUAAGUGGGAAACGAUGUGGGAAGGCAUAGACAGCUAGGAGGUUGGCUUAGAAGCAGCCACCCUUUAAAGAAAGCGUAAUAGCUCACUAGUCGAGUCGGCCUGCGCGGAAGAUGUAACGGGGCUAAAACUAUGUGCCGAAGCUGCGGAUGUAUACUUUGUAUACGUGGUAGGGGAGCGUUCUGUAAGCCGAUGAAGGUGUGUUGAGAAGCAUGCUGGAGGUAUCAGAAGUGCGAAUGCUGACGUGAGUAACGACAAAACGGGUGAAAAACCCGUUCGCCGAAAGACCAAGGGUUCCAGUCCAACGUUAAUCGGGGCUGGGUGAGUCGACCCCUAAGGCGAGGCCGAAAGGCGUAGUCGAUGGGAAAAUGGUUAAUAUUCCAUUACUUCUGUGUAAUGCGAUGAGAGGACGGAGAAGGCUAAAUCAGCCUGGCGUUGGUUGUCCAGGUGAAAGGAUGUAGGCAUGUAUCUUAGGCAAAUCCGGGGUACUCUAUGCUGAGAUCUGAUAGCAAGCUGUACUUGUACAGCGAAGUGGUUGAUGCCAUGCUUCCAGGAAAAGUCUCUAAGCUUCAGUUACACAGGAAUCGUACCCGAAACCGACACAGGUGGUCAGGUCGAGUAGACCAAGGCGCUUGAGAGAACUCUGCUGAAGGAACUAGGCAAAAUGGUACCGUAACUUCGGGAGAAGGUACGCUGUUGUUGGUGAUGGAACUCGCUUCCUGAGCUGACGACAGCCGCAGAAACCAGGCCGCUGCAACUGUUUAUUAAAAACAUAGCACUCUGCAAACACGAAAGUGGACGUAUAGGGUGUGAUGCCUGCCCGGUGCUGGAAGGUUAAUUGAUGGGGUUAGCGUAAGCGAAGCUCUUGAUCGAAGCCCCAGUAAACGGCGGCCGUAACUAUAACGGUCCUAAGGUAGCGAAAUUCCUUGUCGGGUAAGUUCCGACCUGCACGAAUGGCAUAAUGAUGGCGGCGCUGUCUCCAGCAGAGGCUCAGUGAAAUCGAAAUCGCUGUGAAGAUGCAGUGUACCCGCGGCUAGACGGAAAGACCCCGUGAACCUUUACUGCAGCUUGACACUGAACUUUGACCUUACUUGUGUAGGAUAGGUGGGAGGCUUUGAAGCUGGAACGCUAGUUCCAGUGGAGCCGUCCUUGAAAUACCACCCUGGUAAUGUUGAGGUUCUAACUCUGUCCCGUGAUCCGGGACGAGGACCGUGUCUGGUGGGUAGUUUGACUGGGGCGGUCUCCUCCUAAAGAGUAACGGAGGAGUACGAAGGUGCGCUCAGCGUGGUCGGAAAUCACGCGUAGAGUAUAAAGGCAAAAGCGCGCUUAACUGCGAGACCCACAAGUCGAGCAGGUACGAAAGUAGGUCUUAGUGAUCCGGUGGUUCUGUAUGGAAGGGCCAUCGCUCAACGGAUAAAAGGUACUCUGGGGAUAACAGGCUGAUACCGCCCAAGAGUUCAUAUCGACGGCGGUGUUUGGCACCUCGAUGUCGGCUCAUCUCAUCCUGGGGCUGAAGCAGGUCCCAAGGGUAUGGCUGUUCGCCAUUUAAAGAGGUACGCGAGCUGGGUUUAGAACGUCGUGAGACAGUUCGGUCCCUAUCUACCGUGGGCGCUGGAAAUUUGAGAGGAUCUGCUCCUAGUACGAGAGGACCAGAGUGGACGAACCUCUGGUGUACCGGUUGUGACGCCAGUCGCAUCGCCGGGUAGCUAUGUUCGGAAGGGAUAACCGCUGAAAGCAUCUAAGCGGGAAGCCUACCUCAAGAUAAGAUUUCCCUAGGACUUUAUGUCCUCUAAAGAGCCGUUCGAGACUAGGACGUUGAUAGGUUGGAUGUGGAAGCAUAGUGAUAUGUGAAGCUGACCAAUACUAAUUGCUCGUGAGGCUUGACUAUACAACACCCAAGCAGUUG